GACGAACGCUGGCGGCGUGCUUAACACAUGCAAGUCGAACGAUGAAGCCGGAGCUUGCUCUGGUGAAUUAGUGGCGAACGGGUGAGUAACACGUGAGUAACCUGCCCUUGACUCUGGGAUAACUGCGGGAAACUGUAGCUAAUACCGGAUACGACCCUCGGAGGCAUCUCCAGGGGGUGGAAAGAAUUUCGGUCAAGGAUGGACUCGCGGCCUAUCAGCUAGUUGGUGAGGUAACGGCUCACCAAGGCGACGACGGGUAGCCGGCCUGAGAGGGUGACCGGCCACACUGGGACUGAGACACGGCCCAGACUCCUACGGGAGGCAGCAGUGGGGAAUAUUGCACAAUGGGCGCAAGCCUGAUGCAGCAACGCCGCGUGAGGGAUGACGGCCUUCGGGUUGUAAACCUCUUUUAGUAGGGAAGAAGCGAAAGUGACGGUACCUGCAGAAAAAGCACCGGCUAACUACGUGCCAGCCGCCGCCGUAA
rnacentral:rRNA from 1 species